rnacentral:rRNA from 1 species
UACGGAGGGUGCAAGCGUUAUCCGGAUUUACUGGGUUUAAAGGGUGCGUAGGUGGGCAGGUAAGUCAGUGGUGAAAUCUCCGAGCUUAACUCGGAAACUGCCAUUGAUACUAUCUGUCUUGAAUUAUCUGGGGGUGAGCGGAAUAUGUCAUGUAGCGGUGAAAUGCUUAGAUAUGACAUAGAACACCAAUUGCGAAGGCAGCUCACUACGGAUAUAUUGACACUGAGGCACGAAAGCGUGGGGAUCAAACAGG